AAUUUUUCCAUUAAUAAACCUUUGAACCAGUAAUUACACAAAAUCUGCACAAUUUCCCAGCAGCCAUGCAAGGCCGUGAGAGAGAGACAAGCUUGUGAUUAUUUUUUGUGCGAAUCAUGAGAAAGCUAAUGUUUGUUUGCAAUGAGUCACAUACAUAAACACAUUCGAUUAUUCAAAAUUUGAAUACAUUUGUUUCGAUUCCAUCAUUCCUGGAAGAGUUGAAACUGCUUCAGUUUUCCAAGGCAGGUGCUGCAAAAGGAGGUGGUCUUGAAAUUGUGGCUGAACUUCCACCGCCCCUUGCAAUUCCACCGUCGCCCAUUCCCGGCAAUCCUCUCCGCAGCUGCACUUCACCCGGAUAUGCAUUCCUCUCUUACCUUGUGAUUGUGGCGUCCUUGAAGUUCAGGCCUUCUAACAAUUUACAUUUCUAUAUAUAUAUAUAUAUAUAUAUAUAUAUAUAUAUAUAGCAACUAAAAAAAAAUAUAUAUAUAUAUAUAUUUUUUUUUUAUUAAUUAAAUUUUGAAUUAUGAUAUAAAAUAAAAAUAAGAAAUUGUACUAAUGCAACAAUAUUUAACACAUGGCAAGUUAUGAAUGGUAUGGAACUGUCACUCAGCAUUGUCCAGUGGCAUGUCAAGCCCUAAACAAGUUUUUCUCCAAUUUUAGGGAGCAUUUAUGAUAAAAACCCAAUUUUUUUUUUAUACUCUAUUAUUUUUGGUAGAGAUUUGCUUGACAAUUGUUUGCUGUUCUUUUAGCAUAGGAAUAUGGUCAGUCAGGCAAUGAAUAUGAGGAAUAUGAGGACGAUGAGGAUGGUGAAGAGUAUGAUUCCAAAGUGUUUCACCGCCACUACAUUUGCAUGUUACAAAUUUUCAGUUUGAUUGAAAUCCUCCAUCUCAUCACUCCCUUUUUCAGUAUCUAACUGGGCAAUUUUCAAACUUUUUGUAAUAAUUUUUCAGUUCUAACAGGUAAUUCUCCACUUAAUUGUUUAAUCUUUUAAUUGCUACAAGCCUACAAGUAUAUUGUCUUUUGAACAUUCUAAUGUUUCUUAUGACCAUAGCCCCUAAUUAUUGUUAAAGGAAAGGGAUCCUCUCCUGAUUCCUUCUACCUAAUUCUCCUCAUCAAACAAUCUGGGUCCUUAAAAUUUGAUCCAACGGCUAAAGUUAUUAUAACUUUUAGAGUGGGCCCCUGUUUUUAGCCGUCAAAUUUCAAGAGCCUGGAUUUUUUUAUGAGGAGGAUUAGGUGGAAGGAAUUCGGAGAGGAUCCCUUUCCAUUGUUAAAAAAGUAUUGUAGAGUCGUAGUUUUUCUAUGACUCCGGCUGAAAUGAAGAUGCUCCACAGUGGUCAAGAUGGUAAAGGUUUACAAAUAUCUAAUUUUAUUCAUAUGUGUAUUCUUUCUCAUUUGCUUUUCUACUCAUACGAACUUAAACUUUAAACUAAACCAAUUUUAAGGCUUUACAACAUUUCAAGCACACUCUGGGAAUUCUCCCUCAGUCUCUCAUCCUUUCUUUUGAAUGUUUGAUUUGUAUUUUACUGUUAUUAGGUUUUCCAUUUUGGUUUUUGCCUCAAUCAGAGAGAGAGAGAGAGAGAGAGAGAGAGAGAGAGAAUGUUCUUGCAAACAAUCAAUUGGUAUGCAAUUUGUGUGGGAAUUUGCUUCAUUCUUUCUUGACACACCCCAACCUGGGAAGGUCGAAGCAUGUUGGCCAUCACUGUGAGGUGACAUAACCAUAAAUGUAGUGAUGUGAUAAAGUGGGUAUAUUUAAACCUAAAAGUGCCUAUAACAAAAGAGUGCGCAGGUGAGCGGGAUUGCAACCAUUUCACACAUGAUAGUAGAGCAUAAGAAUAGUAUAAUAAUUAGGGUGAGGGUUAUACCACUAAGGUAUCCAUCUACUAAGAUCUUGCCAGAGUCCUCGUUUACACGCAAGCACAGCUACUAAACCUGGAAGGUGAGUGGGUCAGCAAAACAAUGCUUAUACAAAAACCUUUAUUUUCGAAUAUACUAACCCCUCGCCGUAAAACAAGUAUAGUUUCCUUAAAACAUACUACAUAAGUAUGUAAACAAUAAUACAACAACAUUAAAACCAGAAAUAUGCCAAGUCAUGAUAUAUCAAAUGCCAUAGUAAUAUAAUCAUGAAUAAUCAAUUGCUCAUCAAUCUAUGCUAACACACGAGUCAGAAUUGCUUAAAGCAAUUCUACUCGACAAGACUGGGUGUAAUCAAUAUACUCUAGUACUAUGAUCACGUGAAGACUGGUGCAAAAGCACAUCACAUACAAGUCGGAUUGUCUAAUGCAAUCUACCCAACAGGACUGGCAGCUAACUUGGAUCCAAGGUGAGCGAACGGUGCGAUGUGAACAUAUAAGUGAAGGACUCGCCCUAACCCUGGGGCGAGUACUAACACCGGGGUGCAACAAGAUGAGCAUGUAUACAGGUAAAUAUGAAUGUCAUGACAUUAAUAUCUCAACCAUAUAACAACAUUUAUCACAAUUCAUGUCACAAUAAUGAUACUAGGCAGUAUAGGCGUAAAAUGAAGUAAAUACGCAUUUAUGGAAACUAUAAUAUGUAUAGGUAUAAAAACAAAUUGCCCACUCACAAAUACAUAGUCGAAACGAAGCCUCAUAGCCUGGCUUAACUCCGUACGUCCCCGGAAUAUGUUCCUUAUACGUGAAAUUACUAAUUAACUUAGUUUAAUAGCAAAUAAAUGGAAACUUAAAUAAAACCUUUGUAAAUUACUCAAACAUAGGUUUUAAAUAUACGAAAUCGAUCUACUUGAUGUCACGGACCUAAACAAAUUUUCAGAAUAAUUUUUUGUUUACUCACGCGGCUCCCUCACGCGCACCCACGCGCCUUCUUCACGAAACCUGCGAUUUUUGCAGUUUGCAGGCCUUACUUUCAGAGCUCCAAAUGAGCUCAUUUCUCAACCAAAAUCAAUGAUUCAAAAACCAAAAUAAAUUUAGGAAUGCAGGGAAUAGAUCUAUGUCCAUUUGGGGUCGUUUCAUGGACAAAUAUUACCGGAAAAAUGGCCUGAAAGUGGCCAAAUGGUCACGGGUCUGAGUUUCCAGAAAUCUGGGAAAUUUUAUCCCAAAUUUGAAGGCAAAUUUGUAGUUCGCUACCUAACCAUUUUCAGUGUUCUACUUAUAUAUUUGAAGCUCGUAAUGAGGGGAACAAGAUCAUACCAUCAUGAUGUCAAAAUAUUGUCGGAACAGGCCGGAAAAGGGAUAUAAAAGUGACUCGAUGGUCACGGUUCCGUCCAUCCAAAAAUCUGGGGGGAAAUUCCAUUUCAUCCUUUUAGUCACCAACC
rnacentral:lncRNA from 1 species